AUUUAUUUUCAUUUUUUUUUUUUUUUUCAUUAUUUAUGAAUUAAACAGAAAAGUAGAUUAUUGUAACGGUUUAAAU
rnacentral:ribozyme from 13 species